rnacentral:misc_RNA from 1 species
UAUUUCACAGGCGAUUAUUCUAUAUCGAGACGUGCUACAGGAAUAAUGUGUGUUUAAUUGUGUCAACAAUAUCGUUGUAUUUAAUUCUAUGAAUCAUAAAAAUAUAAUAAGAAAACAGAUUUUGCUACUAAAUAUAAAUUUUUAAUCUUAUUCAGUGGUUUUGUUUAUUCAACAUGUUUUGCAAUUGUGUGUGCGACUUUUUUAAGAAACUCGAAAACCAAUGUUUGAUUGUAGCGUUUUUUACAAUGCUCACCUCCACAACCUUGAUUGUGCUAUCGAUCCUUUACAUCCUCCCAAAGGAAAACCACCAAGAGCUGAGAGCCCUUCUGGCGAAGCUCAAUAUGGCAGACAACUCAGCGGUCUUUCUCUCUUCCAUAACGAUGCUUCUGUGUACUAUUUGGAUGAUCUCAGGGGUUCUUCUUGUUAUUGGGAUUAAUAAAAACUCGUCGGGGUGUGUCCUCUUCUACUUCGUGUACGGCAUUUUCUUCACAAUCACGCUGCACGUGGCCACCUUACUGUUGUUGCUGCAUGAAGAUUGGGCGUUUGGAUUCGGCAUUUUAAUCACCUCUUUGAUGAACAUUCGUGGCCUCGUGACGGUGUACCAAACGUAUGACUUGCUGCAGCGAGGGAAGGUAUUUGGUGACCAAGAAAAUGCCUUGUUGGUGGGGGAUGACGAUUCAGUGACAUUGCCUGAGGAAAAUGUAUAGAAUCUUGAAUACUGUUUAUCAUUUAUAUUAUAGGACUUAAAUACAAUCACUUCAUAUGAGUUAGAGGAAAUAAGAUAUAGGUAAACAUAGUAAGGAAUAUUUACAUUGGUGUCCGUUAAAGUCGAAAAUUUCCUAAAGAGUAAAAUUUCAGGUAAAAAUUUUUCAUUGCAAAACGCUCAUCUAAUGACAAACAAAUAAUGUAAGUGCAUUUUUAAUUAUUAGUUAUUGUCUAACUCUUAAUAAAAAAUUGUCGAAAAAUUAUCCAGCAAACAAAAGAUGCCGAAGAGUUAUUAAUAUUAACGUGCCAUAUUUUGUGUAACAAUUGUCCUAAGAAAACAAUCAAAGAUAAUUAGCGCUUAAGAAAAAAAAUGUUUAGUUGUUUUAUGUAACAAUGUUUAAUUUGUUUAAGUUACAUACAAUAUAAUAUUAAUAAGUAAUUUCAUUCGUUACAAACUAAGGGUUAAACUAGUUGUGUACGUAAAACGAGUGUUGGAUAUCUUGACUUGGACAAAAAACACAAACUCAAAGCAAACUUGAGCUACCUAUUUGAAAAUCAAAUUUCAUCAAGAUCAGCAGAACGAGUCAGUGUUAUUGUGCACUUUUAAUCAUGUAAGCACUUACAAGAUUAAAAGUGCACAAUGUGAUUUAGAAUUAGUAAUAAUAUUAAAAUACUUUACAUUUUUGAAUUAUUUAGAUAGGUCCAGUUGAAGCAUGCAACUAUGCAUAAAAAUAAUGAAUUUAUUAAUACAUAAUUAUACUGUUUAUAAAAAAAAAAUAUCCAUGACCUUACCUUGUCAAUUGUAAAUGCAACAUUUUAAACAUUCAAAUCAAACGAAUAGAAUUCUGAUAUAAUAGAUGAAACGAAAUUGAAAGCUUUUUCAUGUUAAUAAUAAUAUAAUUUCGUUUUAUUUUGCGUUUAAUUUCGUUUUUGUUUAAGUUCUAUCUAGGUACCUAUGAUUUAAUCAUUUUUGUUGAAAUACAGAGAAGAGAUUACAUUUUAUAGAAGUCUGAAUAUUAUGUAUAUUUUACAAGUUUUCUGUGUAUUAACUUGGUGAGUAACAGAUUGACAGUUUUGUAAGUUAGGUAUUACGAGUAACGUUUAAAGCACAACUUCUGAGUUAAUAAAAAAAAGAUUGCUUUAAUGGAGAAUAAAGAAUAGACUAUAAAAACUAAUGCACCAGGGUGCCCUAACUUAAAAACUAUACAGAAACUAGAAUUGCGAAAAAAGUAACUUAAACCGAGCUUGCAUAAAAAAGUGAUGAAUAUAUUAAGAUCAAUGUAGAAGGUAUGCAAGGAUCGUGGCUGCCUAAACCUUAGGAAAAGAGGGCAGAUAUACGUAAUCAAAAUUGUUAUUCUAUCAUCAUCUUCAUUUAUUUUUAGUACUUAAACAUAAGUAUAUUUUUUGUUUUUAAACGUAAUUUUGUAUAACUAAUUGUAAACUUAAUAGUUUAUAUAACUUUUAUUCCUUUUUAGUUGUUGAAAUAAAUUAAUAGUUUUAAUGCCAUAUUA